rnacentral:rRNA from 1 species
UACGAAGGGGGCUAGCGUUGCUCGGAAUUACUGGGCGUAAAGCGCACGUAGGCGGUCUUUUAAGUCGGGGGUGAAAUCCUGGAGCUCAACUCCAGAACUGCCUUUGAUACUGAAGAUCUUGAGUCCGGGAGAGGUGAGUGGAACUGCGAGUGUAGAGGUGAAAUUCGUAGAUAUUGGGAAGAACACCGGUGGCGAAGGCGGCUCACUGGCUCGUAACUGACGCUCAUGCACGACAGCGUGGGGAUCAAACAGG